ensembl:lncRNA
AAAUGGAAGGGCUCAGGAGUGUUCAUUGGUCUAGGAGCAAGUGAUACAGGAAAUUGCCUGUGAAGGCAAAACAGAAGGUAGCAUCUCCUUGCUUCCUUUUAUCUGCUCAUUUGAACUUGCAAGGCCUGAAAGAUGUGAACAAAAAGGAGGUCCUGCUGAGAUCCUAAAGCCAGAAACUGUUACUACAAAAGGAAAAAUGCAGAACGGCUGCAGAGAUUUCAUUGAAAAGUGACAAUCAGAAUCUUGCAAAAAUUUUCACUGAGGGAAAGCUGAAAGAAGUAGGAUUGCUCAGCCUAAUGAAGAGGAGAAUGGAGGAAUGAAACAACUCAUGCUUCCAGUAUACUGGUCUUCAUCAAAACCCACCUGGACACUUUCCCAUGCAACCUGCUGUAGGGAACCUACUUUAGCAGAGGGUUGGACUUGAUGAUCUGCAGAGGUCACUGCCAACCACUGUGAUUGUGUGAUCAUUAGAAGAGGAACAAUGAUUUUAUUGAGUUUUGUCAUCAGCUUGGGCCACAAUGGACCAGAAAGUACAACAAAGAAAAGAAGAUCAAACGAAUUUAUUUUUUUUCUAAAGCUAAUAGUAGUGAAAUAUCAUAGUAGUUUGCCUGGAGAAAGGCUAGGGAGACCCCACUACUGGAGGCUUUAGGGGUUGUUUAUUAUUAUUUAUCUGUCAGCACUGACAUGGGUAGACCUGAAUCUGUCAUGUUGCAUGAGGUUUGCUCCAGAUUUUGUGGUACUAUACUCUGCACCUGUAAAAUGAGUGCUGCAGCCCACUUUCUAUUUAUUAUGUUGUGAUGUGUGAUUGAAGAGCAGUAGGGCAGUACAUAAAUGCUCUGAAGUAUUAGGUUGUACACAGAAUUACAAGUUUUUAUCUCAAGGUUACUCAUUACUAUUCUCUUUGACCCAUCAUUAGCUUAUAGAGAAAGCUUACUCUGUAUUCUUCCAAGCCCUCAGUGGAUAGUUUUGAAAACAGAAGAAUAAUGAUCAAGAUGACAAAUAACAGAACAAAUAGUAUACUGUGACCAGUGAAUACUCUUUCCCUUUGACAAAUGUCCUUGUUUGCAUAUGAAUAUGUGUACAGAUAUAAAUAAAAGUAAUUUAUCAAACUU